rnacentral:sRNA from 1 species
GUUUGAGUUCAUUUAUAGUCAGAGGGUUUUAAUUUACUUGUGAAGUUCACACUAUUGAAACUAAUUGCAAUGCUUGACUUUAUUUUCUUUAGAGUCCAAGAAAGAGAAAAACAAGGCAUAGCACAAAUCCCCCUCUAGAGUGUCAUGUUGGUUGGGUAAUGGAUUCCAGAGACCAUGGGCCAAGAACAUCCUCUGUCAGCACUUCAAAUGCUUCACCUUCAGAAGGCGCACCACUAGCAGGAAGUUAUGGAUGUACUCCUCAUUCAUUCCCAAAGUUCCAGCAUCCUUCUCAUGAACUUUUGAAGGAAAAUGGCUUUACCCAACAAGUGUACCACAGGUAUCGUCGAAGAUGCCUAAGUGAGAGAAAACGCUUGGGAAUUGGUCAGUCCCAAGAAAUGAAUACCCUCUUUCGUUUCUGGUCCUUUUUCCUCAGAGAUCACUUCAAUAAAAAAAUGUAUGAGGAAUUUAGACAACUUGCUUGGGAAGAUGCAAAAGAAAAUUACAGGUCAGCUGUAUGGACUAGAAAAGUUUUGGGCUUAUUUGAAAUAUUCUCAAUCUAAGACACAGUCUAUUGACCCAAAACUUCAGGAAUACCUCUGUAGUUUUAAGAGGUUAGAAGACUUCCGUGUUGAUCCCCCUAUUAGUGAUGAAUUUGGAAGAAAAAGACAUUCCUCUACUUCUGGUGAGGAGAGUUAUCGUCAUAGACUUCCACCUAAUUCCUCUACAAAGCCACCAAAUGCUGCUAAACCUACAUCUACCAGUGAGCUUCAGGAGGCUGAUCCAAUAGAGUAAUACCUAAUUAUAUCACCAUGAGAUGGCAAAACGGAAUGUCAGAUCUGUAGACUUUUGACAGGAAAAAUCACCAUGAUCGAUUACUUCUGCUCAUCGUAAACAUCUAGUUCCUAAGCAGGAUAUGAGAAUCUGCCUUCCUGUGACCUCUCCUGGGCUCAGUGACACUCCAGUCGCCGCCCCACCCCACACCAAUGCCACUUCCAAGUUUGACUUGCAUCUUACAAACCAUAUUUCUGUUUACUUUUUUUCUGCCCUGGGACAUUUUUAAUAACUUUUAGAUAACAACUUCAACAAAAAUUUACCUCCCACCAA